rnacentral:rRNA from 1 species
AUUGAACGCAGGCGGAAUGCUUUACACAUGCAAGUCGAACGGUAGAGGGGGCAACCCCUCGAGAGUGGCGAACGGGUGAGUAAUAUAUCGGAACGUGCCCAGUCGUGGGGGAUAACGUAGCGAAAGUUACGCUAAUACCGCAUACGAUCUAAGGAUGAAAGCGGGGGAUCGCAAGACCUCGCGCGAUUGGAGCGGCCGAUAUCAGAUUAGGUAGUUGGUGGGGUAAAGGCUCACCAAGCGAACGCUCUGUAGCUGGUCUGAGAGGACGACCAGCCACACUGGAACUGAGACACGGUCCAGACUCCUACGGGAGGCAGCAGUGGUGAAUUUUGGACAAUGGACGCAAGUCUGAUCCAGCCAUUCCGCGUGCAUGAUGAAGGCCCUCGGGUUGUAAACUGCUUUUGUACGGAACGAAAAGGUCUCUCUUAAUACGGGGGGCUCAUGACGGUACCGUAAGAAUAAGCACCGGCUAACUACGUGCCAGCAGCCGCCGUAA